UAGGGCCUCCAACACGCAGCUUCCACGGAGGAGUGGGGAUAGCAGAAAUGAAAAAGCCUGGAGAAGCAGUGUGAUUAGCUUACAGUCCAAAAUAAGGGGUGAAUGCAGCAUUUCUCAGUGUUUUUCUGCAUGUUGCUGCCUUCUUCAGCAACAGAAACAACAGCAAGAGGGGAGCUGAUGGUUAUUUACUUGUUUACGCUGGUGUUUCGGUGCAGUGGUUCAAAGACAUUGGACCUGAACCCCUGGUUGCGGUGGUCGGUGAUGGCCUUGCGCCAGGGAGAGGAGAUGGGUGGCACUGAGCUCCCUGCCUUCCUUAUUGCCACACUUCUGGCACUGAGCUGCUGUCACACCCAUGGACAGCUAGCCAGGGCCUCAGACGGGGAGGCCCGGGCGCAGGUGUGGCCCUGGUGUUUUCUGAGCUGGAUAUACAAUAACUUGGAGGCAAUUGAAGCGAUUUUUGGAGUUCUCGACUUUUCUGUGUGCAGCUGUCCAUAGGUCAGCUGGUGUGAGGUGGUUGCUGAGACCUGGGAUUUGGCCACUUGGGCCGUGUGUCAGUGAAGGCAGCGAAUCCUCGGUGUCGUGGGAGGAGCAGCAAUGUACACAGCUUUGCCAUACUUUUGUUCUCCAAAUCCUAGGCUGCUUUCGCUUCCAAUGAAAUAUGGAAACUCCCUAGCAUGCUUUCAACUGCCUGGCUGCGCAAUCCCACCCCCAGCCAUGCUUAGCUGCACUGUCAGCAGCAAAGCCUGACCCUGAAACAGGCUAAGUGGAUUAAGGAAUCUUCUCUAGGUGCCAGAGAGAUAUUUUCGUACUCAUCUUACUGACAAAAGUACAGUUCAGUCAGUUUAAACAUACACAUCCUCCUCUCUCUGCUCUGACACCUGUCCUGCAACUGAAACAUGCACAAAAGACUGUUUCAUUCAGAAAAGCUUUUUUUCUGAUCAGUAGCUUUUGCUGUGACCUGUGAUUCCUCCAGGCAGGGUCUCACGACUUACUUGCAAUGCCCACAGAAGCUUCAGAAAGAGGCAUUUUGAACUCCCGAGCAUCCUGGCUACUGAACCAAACCUUCCCUGGACAUGCUGUGGGAUUGCUGUUGGUGUGUGAGUCACAGCAAAGGGAGUUUGAAGGAGCUGGGAGCUGCCACUGAUGAUGACAAGAAGUGCUGCUGCUAGUAAUCCUGAGUGUCAUCAUUGCUGCUAGGAUCAGCACAUGACCCUGGUGCCAGUAGCCAUCACACCUCCACACUGCUCUACAUGCUUGACACCACCAUCACCCGUGGGGUGCCUGCUGUCAUGGGUGUCAGUGGUUCCUUUCUCCAUUGGCCACAGGGUACUUGCUGCCAUCCCUGUGCAGAUGGCAGCACCCAGACACACACCCUCCUCCGGAGUGCAGGCAGCAGGCUGCCUCACUGCUGCACCUGGUGGUCAACCAGCACCACCUCUCUUGAUGCUACCCCACUUGCAAUGGUGGUACCUGCAGGUCCCUACUGAGCACCAUCCUGGUUAGGAAGAGCUGUUAAAUGGGGUGGAAGGAGCAGGAUGGCUUUGGGGGAGGCAUUUGGAGAACCUGUUUUAUCCUCCUGGUAUCAUCAGACAGGUGGUCAGCACUCCUGGAGAUGGGCUCUGCUCCCUCUCCUCCUGCGUGGUGUGUGGCAGGGAAGGGCAGCUUUCUUGGGAAAGCCCCACUUGGUUGAGAAAGUCUCAGCAGUUGUUUCUGGGCGGCAAGUUGUUCCUGUAACUGCUCCAACGUAACUUAGUGUCAUGGCAAGCUUGGUCAUGUUGUGGUUCAGAGGACGGUCUCCUCAUGGCAGCUCUCCAGCAGCUAUUCCACCCACAGACCAUUCCCUCCAUGCAACUGUCAGUGCUCCGGGGUCAGCAACACCAGAUGGGAUCACUGUUUAGAUGUUGGCAGGAAAUGCUGUGGUUUGGUAAGAGCUAAUGAAAAAAUCUUGUCAUCAUGGAGGCAGGCGUGUCACCGUAGACCUAUGCAGGCUCCGUCACAGGCUCAGUUUUCUCUCUGGGAAGCAUCCAGUUCAGCCCCUCUGGAGAGACAGCCAAAGAACACCAGGGUCUACAAGACACUGCCAGAUCUAGUGAAGGAGAUGAGCACUCCAGGGGUGCUCUUUGCGCCAAGUUGACAGAAGAGCUUCUCCAAAAAUUCUGGGAAAAAGCUUUGGAGAGGGCUUCCAGGAAAGCUCCUGCUACCUACAAUUUCUACCUGCAGCAAUUUUCCUGUACGAUCACACUGACACUGGCACUGUUUCACUGGAGAGCUGUAUGGACACCACAGCAAGUGUUCCCAAAGCCACCCUGGGACAUCAUGUAGCUCUGGUGAUCUGACCAAGGCGAGAGAUUUCACGACAGCCUAGACCCGUCAAAACCAACAAAUAUGAAUUCUCAAGAAUGCCAUCCACAGCAAAAGGAAAUCAAACUGGGCCACUUCAAUAAACAAAAGCUUAAAAUUACAUCAUGUCAAGCUAAAACAUACAAAGCAUUAAAUCGAGAACAUGCAAGUUAUUUAUAUUGCAAACUGUUAUAUUAUUAAAAGCUAAUUUCAUCAGACCAGCUUGCUGUCCUGAUAGCCAAUUACAUAGAACAAGUAUUUAAUUUACUGUGAAGCCUACAAAAUUAUGAGUGAGGAGGCAAAUGCCACCAGAUACGUGGAAGGCUUCUUUCUUCAGAUGCUUCUUCAUUCCUGUGCAGGAGCUCUGUUGGUAUUUCUUUCCUUUGUUUUACACACCGUCCUUACACCAAGACAGAAGUGGCACCACAGCAUUGCUGUGCUGUUGCAGUCC